UAUGGUUACAUCUCACCAAGGAGGCUCUUCUUAUGCCUUCAAGCCCACAUUGCACUAAUUUGGGUACAACAGACUCGAUUUGGGCUUAAAACACUAAAUAAAAACACCAAGUGACGGACAUUUGCUACGCUUAACGCAAACACUGCUCUGCCGUACUGAAUAAAACCUUUCUAAAACCCCUUCGCCGGAAAAAUAUUCGCUGACCCUUCUCCGAAAACUUCGGAUGUCAAAUGUACGCGGGGUGCGCAAUACUUUCAAGGUAAACUUUUCAUCUCCUUUUCUCUCUUCUUCAAAACUGCAAACCCUAAAAAAUUCUUCUUCUUAUGCUUCUUCCGCUUCUUCAAAUCGUGACAGCUUUGAUUAUAUAGAUCAGUUUAUACCUUCCUGUAAGCCCAACUCAAAUUCUUUUAAAUUUACAAAUUCCAAUGAGCAGCGGAAAAUCAUUGUGGGGUUAUCAAAAAUCAUUAAAAGUCAGAAAGGAUACGUUUUGAGAGGAUUCUCACAUAAUUUUUGCCCCUUUUUUUUAGUUAAGAUAAUGAAACUAUUAGAAAGUCGAGAGACGGCUUUUGCAUUCUUCAAAGUUGCAUUUUGCGAUGAUUCCGAGUCUGUAAUUCGCUCUUCUUGUGUCGCCGCGCAUAUUUUAGCGGUAGAUAGUCUUCGCUUUCUUGCACAAGAUAUAGUUACUUGGGUGAUAAGUAGAAUUGGGGUGCGUAGGAGUAAAGAAUUUGUAGAGAUCAUGUGGAGCGGUCACCAUCAAUACGAAUCAGAUUUCUCUGUACUUGAUACGCUAAUGCGUGGCUUUUUGCAUGUGGAAAUGCCUAUGGAGGCAAUGGAGAUUUUGUGUCGAAUGAGGGAAGAAGGAGUCAGGCCAAGCUUGUCUGCAAUUAAUAUUCUUUUCAAUUUGUUGCUUAGAGUUGGUGAUUAUGGUAGUGUGUGGAAGUUGUUUAGGGAUAUACUUGGUAAAGGGCCUAGGCCUUGUAAUUAUACUUUCACUGCAUUGAUACUUGGCUUUUGUAGAAAAGGAUAUGUUAGCAUUGGUGAGAGUUUGUUUCAUGUGAUGCAAAAAUAUAUGUGUGUACCUGACAUAUAUAUCUAUGACAUUCUGAUAAAUGCUUAUUGCAUUAGGGGGCGCUCUUCAGAUGGUCUAUAUUGGAUGCAUUUAAUGAUUGAAAGGGGCUGUAAACCAAGCAUUGUUACAUUCAGUACACUUAUUGAUGCUUUUUGCAAAGAGGGAAACAUGGUGCAAGCGAGGAAGAUUUUUGAUGGGAUUCAAGAUGCUUGUCUUUCUCCGAAUGUGGUAAUAUAUAAUAGCCUGAUUAAUGGUUAUGUUAAAGCGAGGGACAUUGGUCAGGCUAACAUGCUUUAUCAAGAAAUGAAGAUUAGAGGUAUAGCUCCUGAUGGUGUAACUUUUAAUGUAUUGGUUUUAGGGCAUUAUAAAUAUGGUAGGGAAGAGGAUGGGGACAGGUUAUUAAGGGAUAUGACAGAAUCAGGGUUGCUUCCAGAUUGCUCAUUGUAUGAUAUUACAGUAGCAGGACUAUGUUGGUCUGGUCAUCUGGAUGAGGCUUUGCAAUUUUUUGAGAAUAUGUUUGAGAAAGGAAUACCUCCAAGUGUUGUUGCUCUCAACUCUAUUAUUGCGGCUUAUAGCAGGGAGGGUUUAGAAGAAAAAGUUUAUGAAGUAUAUAAAAUGAUGGAUAAGUUUGGUCUGAUUCCUUCUUCAUCCACAUGCAGUUCUCUGCUCCUUGGUUUGUGCAAGAAGAGGAGACUGCAAGAAGCUGGGGAGCUUUUAUAUAUGAUGAUAGAGAAAGGUUUGCCAGUAAAUAGAGUGGCUUUUACCAUGCUUUUGGAUGGGUACUUUAGGAUGGGGGAUCUGGUGGGAGCUCAAAAUCUGUGGAAUGAGUUGGUUAGGAGGAGAAUGUUUCCUGAUGCCGUUGCCUUCUCAGCCUACAUUAAUGGACUUUCUAAGGCAGGCCUGGUGCAGGAUGCAUAUAAUGUGUUUUUAGAAAUGUUAAGGAUAGGAUUUGUUCCAAAUAACUUUAUAUACAACUCCUUAAUUUCUGGGUUCUGUGGCCAUGGGAAAUUGCUUGAAGCAUUAAAAUUGGAGAAAGAGAUGAGGCAAAAAGGUCUGCUUCCAGAUAUUUUUACAGUGAAUAUAAUCAUUAAUGGCUUUUGCAAACAAGGCAGAUUGAAAUCUGCAAUUGAUGUAUUUAUAGGCAUGUAUCGGACUGGUUUAAUCCCUGAUAUAAUUACAUACAACACUUUGAUUGCUGGGUACUGUAAAGCGUUAGACAUGGUUAAUGCAGAUGGAUUUGUGAGUAAAAUGUAUGCCAGUGGUUGGGAUCCAGAUAUUACGACCUAUAACCUACAGAUCCAUGGUUUCAGCAAUAUUGGAAAGAUGAAUCAAGCUGUUAUUAUUCUGGAUGAGCUUAUUAGAGCUGGUAUUGUUCCGGAUACAGUAACAUAUAACAUUAUGAUGAAUGGUGUUUGUCGUGACAUAAUGGAUCGUGCUAUGAUAGUGGCCGCAAAAUUGCUUAAGAUGGCCUUUGUUCCAAAUGUCAUUACUGUUAAUACAUUGCUGUCUCACUUUUGCAAGCAGGGGAUGCCAGAGAAGACUUUAUUGUGGAGUCAGAAGCUGAGUGAGAUUUCCUUCAAUUUUGAUGAGACUUCCUAUUUUUUAAUGGACAGAGCCUACUGUAACAUCCAAGGAAAUGCUGGAUUUAUUAGUGAAACAUCUGGAAAGAGCCUCUUUUUGGAUUUCCUCAUGUACAUUACGUAUGAUUAUUUCUGUAGAAAUAGACCUUGCAGGAAAACCAUUCAAUCUCCUCUUAAACUAAUUUAAUAUGGUUCUUGUGGAUCCUGAGAUUUGAUUUAUAGUACAUCUUUUGCAACUUGCAUUCUUUUGUCUCCCUGGAUCACUUGUCUGAUCAUGAAUUGGCAUAUGGCAGUCUCAGGAUCACCAUGACUUUUCUGUGCACAUACUCUUCUGCACAACAUUGGUACAAACAGCAGCUCUGGUGAGAAGAGAUGAAAAUUUUUAUUUGAGAUCAUUUUACUAGAGAUUGGUGAUUGUAUUGAAAGGACAAGUUUGUAAUUGAGAGUACUGCAAAGAGCAAAGAAAUCAAAAGAUGAGUGGGUAGAGAUAUCAGGGUAGCCCUAAUCCAUUGGGAGAAGUCUUGCUUGAUGGCUCUUCUGUUGAUUUCUAACGGGUGAGUUAAAUCAUUUUUUAUCAUGGGAGUCCUAUUAUAUACCAUGACAAAAGUAGAAGUAACAGGUUAGCGUAAGUAACUGCUCCUCCCUCUUUUAAUUUUAAAUUCUCCUCUGUAUAUAUGUAAAACUCUGUAUUGUAGAUUGUGAAUUUGUGAUCUUAAUUUGAAGAAACAAAAGAGUCUAUAGAAUAGCACCAGAUCUGAUGAGAAGGGAUUGAAGCGGUAAAAAUGGGUGACUAAUUGCUGUUUGCUGGGUGCAGCUGGUGUUUGCAAGUGAAGAAGGUAUAUCUGCCCAGACUCAGUAAUGGCAAACAAUUAUUGGUGUUUGCAGUGACAAUUCGUGUUGUGGCUACUCUGUGCAUCUGUGCAUAUAGGCAGCUUUCCAAAGCAAUCAUAAUCAUGGGUAUUUCAAAAUAUCAGCAUUUGCCCAUUGCAGCCAGAAGCAGACUUUCAGAAGCAAAUUGAUGAUAUACUUUCAGGAACUUCUUCACUUUUUUCCCUUCUCUAAUAUUUUUGUACACAUUAUGUGACAUUGAAAAAGACAUAGAUGCAAAUGAAAUUCUCUUUUUUUACCCAAAUUCUCAUCUGUGAGAAAAAUCAGAGUUUCAGAAGCAAAUUAAUGAUAUACUUUCAGGAACUUCUUCA